AAUCGCACGAAUGGAAAUGUGCGUCCAAGCAGUGAGUGUGAGAAGUAGGCAAAUCCGCUUCUCGCGAAGCAUGAGCUGUGAUGGGGAAGGAAAUUAAGUACGGAAGUUCCUGAUUUCACGCUGUCAAGAAAAGCCUCUAGGAAGAGUAGUACUGCCCGUACCGCAAACCGACACAGGUAGAUGAGGAGAGAAUCCUAAGGUGAGCGAGAGAACUCUCGUUAAGGAACUCGGCAAAAUGACCCCGUAACUUCGGGAGAAGGGGUGCUCUAUUAGGGUGCAAGCCCGAGAGAGCCGCAGUGAAUAGGCCCAGGCGACUGUUUAGCAAAAACACAGGUCUCUGCAAAACCGUAAGGUGACGUAUAGGGGCUGACGCCUGCCCGGUGCUGGAAGGUUAAGAGGAGUGCUUAGCUUCGGCGAAGGUACGAAUUGAAGCCCCAGUAAACGGCGGCCGUAACUAUAACGGUCCUAAGGUAGCGAAAUUCCUUGUCGGGUAAGUUCCGACCCGCACGAAAGGCGCAACGAUCUGGGCACUGUCUCAACGAGAGACUCGGUGAAAUUAUAGUACCUGUGAAGAUGCAGGUUACCCGCGACAGGACGGAAAGACCCCGUGGAGCUUUACUGCAACCUGAUAUGGAAUGUUUGUACCGCUUGUACAGGAUAGGUAGGAGCCGAAGAGACGUGUGCGCUAGCAUACGAGGAGGCAAUGGUGGGAUACUACCCUGGCUGUAUGACCAUUCUAACCCGCCACGCUUAGCGCGUGGGGAGACAGUGUCAGGUGGGCAGUUUGACUGGGGCGGUCGCCUCCUAAAGAGUAACGGAGGCGCCCAAAGGUUCCCUC
rnacentral:rRNA from 1 species